UUGAACAAAAAUAAGUUUACCGACAAUAGCAUGGAAAAUAUAUCCAGCAAAGAUAUAAUGUUGCUUCAGUUGGCCUGUCAAGCAGGACAUUAUAAAAAGGAGCAGAAAUAUUGUUUGGAGAAUGAUUUGUGAAUGCUCAUCUCCAAAGAAAGAAUGAAUAAGCAGAAAUAAGACCUAGCACUCUGCUGGACUCAAAAUACACCCUGGUAGAUUAUUUAUUGGAGUCUUGAAAGGAACAUGUGAAGAGGUUGCUCCUUGAGUUAGUCCAUUUUACAAACGCAAUUGAAGGCUCCAGGUUAACUGCCUUGCCAAAGGUCACACAAACGGUCAAUUUGGACAUUGGAAAUGAAUUCAAAUCUCUUCUGUUUCCAAGUCUCUCAUUCCUUCUACUCUACCCCAUGGUCUCAAGAUUACUAAAGGGUAUGAAAUGAAAGCCCACGUGACCAAAGCUUCCAACCGACUAUCUCUGGGUGCUUGGGUGAUCCCAGGAGACAUUUCUUGGGGUGGAGAGACUGGAUCAAGAAGAAUCUGCACUUUUUUUGCUGACCAGCUCCUUCACCUCCAAUGACAACAGAGUCCCAUAUCCUUUUAUCAACGGGCUCCAUCUCCAAGGCCCAACUGAGCCAACCUCUCCCGGGUUUUAUCUAUUCUGAGGUAUGAAAUACAUGUAAUUUCCUUUUCUGGAAAGAUAAGAGUGCCAUUUGUGCCAAAAAUCAAUGAUAAUGAGGGAUAGGCCACUGCCUUCUUCCUGGACUGGGUAGGAAUGACAGCUAGGUUCCUUGUAAUCAGGGAAAUGACUCCGUGUUACUAUCAGGUGCUAAUAAGCUUGUUCUGGCUUUGGUUCUGACUCAGAUUGCCUCAUAUCAAUGCAGAGGUUCCUAAUAUCUCCAGGUGGAGUGUCGCUUGUAUGAGCAAAUUAUCUAGGUUUACUGACUGUCACUCCUUUGUACUACUGAUAAAUGCAUCUGUUCUCUAAACUGGAGCCAUUCAAUCAAGUCUGGUAUUGAAUUUAAUUUUUUUAUAAACCAUUUACUAAGUGCCAACUGAAUGCAAAGUAUCAGAGAUCCAAAGGAAAAAAUGAAAGAGUCCUUGAACUUUAAGGGCCACCCUAAAAACAACACAAACUACUUGAGAAGAACUCUCUCAUUGCUUUCCUUGUAUUGCAUAAUGGCUGGCUCUAAGUAGGUACUGAAUAAAUGUGUGUUGAUUGACUGAUUGGUUAUUUGAUCCAGCUUAGGAGAACUCAUUAGGCAGACAUUUUUGUGAAUUUAUACCUCAGAAAUCACUAAAUAUCACACAGUAGGGCAUAAUUUAUUGUUUUAUUGUCUAAAGUUAGGUAGGUGAUGGAGAAAGUGUUAAUAAAGUUGAUUAAACUUUAAAAA